rnacentral:rRNA from 1 species
UAGGGAAUCUUCCACAAUGGACGAAAGUCUGAUGGAGCAAUGCCGCGUGAGUGAAGAAGGUUUUCGGAUCGUAAAACUCUGUUGUGAGGGAAGAACAAGUACGGGAGUAACUGUCCGUACCUUGACGGUACCUUAUUAGAAAGCCACGGCUAACUACGUGCCAGCAGCCGCGGUAAUACGUAGGUGGCAAGCGUUGUCCGGAGUUAUUGGGCGUAAAGCGCGCGCAGGCGGUCCUUUAAGUCUGAUGUGAAAGCCCACGGCUCAACCGUGGAGGGUCAUUGGAAACUGGGGGACUUGAGUACAGAAGAGGAAAGCGGAAUUCCAAGUGUAGCGGUGAAAUGCGUAGAGAUUUGGAGGAACACCAGUGGCGAAGGCGGCUUUCUGGUCUGUAACUGACGCUGAGGCGCGAAAGCGUGGGGAGCAAACAGGAUUAGAUACCCUGGUAGUCCACGCCGUAAACGAUGAGUGCUAAGUGUUAGGGGGUUUCCGCCCGUUAGUGCUGCAGCUAACGCUAA